rnacentral:rRNA from 1 species
UGCCAGACUCCUACGGGAGGCAGCAGUGGGGAAUAUUGCACAAUGGGGGGAACCCUGGUGCAGCGACGCCGCGUGGGCGAGGAAGUAUUUCGGUAUGUAAAGCCCUAUCGGCAGGGAAGAAGAAAUGACGGUACCUGAAUAAGAAGCACCGGCUAAAUACGUGCCAGCAGCCGCGGUAAUACGUAUGGUGCAAGCGUUAUCCGGAUUUACUGGGUGUAAAGGGAGCGUAGGCGGCCUGCCAAGUCUGAUGUGAAAUGCCGGGGCUCAACCCCGGGGCUGCAUUGGAAACUGGCAGGCUGGAGUGUCGGAGAGGCAGGCGGAAUUCCUAGUGUAGCGGUGAAAUGCGUAGAUAUUAGGAGGAACACCGGUGGCGAGGGCGGCCUGCUGGACUGCAACUGACGUUGAGGCCCGAAAGCGUGGGGAGCAAACAGGAUUAGAUACCCCAGUA